rnacentral:rRNA from 1 species
AACGCUAGCUACAGGCUUAACACAUGCAAGUCGAGGGGCAGCAUUAUCGAAGCUUGCUUUGAUAGAUGGCGACCGGCGCACGUGUGAGUAACGCGUAUCCAACCUUCCCCAUAGUCAGGAAUAGCCCGGCGAAAGUCGAAUUAAUGCCUGAUGUUUUCCACGGACGGCAUCCGAUGUGGAACAAAGAUUGGUCGCUAUGGGAUGGGGAUGCGUCUGAUUAGCUUGUUGGCGGGGUAACGGCCCACCAAGGCAACGAUCAGUAGGGGUUCUGAGAGGAAGGUCCCCCACAUUGGAACUGAGACUCGGUCCAAACUCCUACGGGAGGCAGCAGUGAGGAAUAUUGGUCAAUGGGCGGAAGCCUGAACCAGCCAAGUAGCGUGAGGGAUGACUGCCCUAUGGGUUGUAAACCUCUUUUAUAAGGGAAUAAAAUACGGGACGUGUCCUGUUUUGCAUGUACCUUAUGAAUAAGGACCGGCUAAUUCCGUGCCAGCAGCCGCGGUAAUACGGAAGGUCCGGGCGUUAUCCGGAUUUAUUGGGUUUAAAGGGAGCGCAGGCGGUCUUAUAAGCGUGACGUGAAAUGCAGCGGCUCAACCGUAUGAUGUGCGUCGCGAACUGUGAGACUUGAGUGUAUUCGAUGUCAGCGGAAUUUGUGGUGUAGCGGUGAAAUGCUUAGAUAUCACGAAGAACUCCGAUUG